rnacentral:rRNA from 1 species
UACGUAGGUCCCGAGCGUUGUCCGGAUUUAUUGGGCGUAAAGCGAGCGCAGGUGGUUUAUUAAGUCUGGUGUAAAAGGCAGUGGCUCAACCAUUGUACGCAUUGGAAACUGGUAGACUUGAGUGCAGGAGAGGAGAGUGGAAUUCCAUGUGUAGCGGUGAAAUGCGUAGAUAUAUGGAGGAACACCGGUGGCGAAAGCGGCUCUCUGGCCUGUAACUGAUACUGAGGCUCGAAAGCGUGGGGAGCAAACAGG